rnacentral:tRNA from 1 species
AUACUUAUUUCGUUUGAUUCCGUCGGCUUUAUUGACCGUGAGGGUUCAAGUCCCUCUACCCCC